ACACUAGUGAAGAGUAAAGAUAGAUAAAAAAAAGCUUGAUAAGGUUCCUGUCAUCUUUCCUAAAAACGAAAUCCUAGGGAAGCAAACUUCAUCAUCAUUCAUCAAUCAUCAUAAUUCAAACCCUCAUAGCUACAGCCUACACAUAUCAAUCAAACCCCCAAUCCUCAACCGCAACAACCAUGCCCGUUUUCAAAACCCCAUUCAACGGAUACUCCGUAAAAUUCAGCCCAUUCUACGAGUCCCGCCUCGCCGUAGCCACCGCCCAAAACUUCGGCAUCCUCGGCAACGGCCGCGUCCACAUCCUCGACCUCCCUCCCACUCCUUCCUCCCCUUUCGUUGAGCUCGCCUCCUUCGACACCGCCGACGGCGUCUACGACGUCGCCUGGUCCGAAUCUCACGACUCCCUCCUCGUCGCCGCCGUAGCCGACGGCUCUCUCAAGAUCUACGACCUCUCUCUUCCCCCUACCUCCAACCCUAUCCGCUCCCUCCACGAACACUCUCGCGAGGUCCAGUCCGUCGACUACAACCCCGUCCGCCGCGACUCCUUCAUCUCCUCCUCCUGGGACGACUCGAUCAAGCUCUGGACUCUCGAUCGGCCAACCUCGAUUCGUAGCUUCCAAGAACACGCGUACUGCGUUUACGCCGCCGUGUGGAACCCUCGCCACGCCGACGUCUUCGCCUCGGCCUCCGGCGACUGCACGCUGCGCGUGUGGGACGUGCGCGAGCCCGGUUCGACGAUGGUGGUCGCCGCUCACGAGUUUGAGAUUCUGUCUUGCGAUUGGAACAAGUACGACGACUGUGUUAUUGCCACAGCCUCUGUUGACAAGUCUGUUAGGGUUUGGGACAUUCGGACUUACAGGACUCCGUUGGCGGUGCUUAACGGCCAUGGCUACGCCGUCAGGAAGGUGAAAUUCUCGCCUCACAAUCGGAGCUUCUUGAUGUCGUGCUCUUACGACAUGACCGUGUGCGCGUGGGAUUACAUGGUGGAGGACGCGCGCAUUGGGCAGUACGGUCACCACACGGAGUUCGCGGUCGGGGUCGACAUGAGCGUGCUCGUCGAAGGCUUGAUCGCCAGUACCGGUUGGGACGAGCUUGUUUAUGUUUGGCAGUAUGGAACUGACCCCAGAGCUCCCUAAUACAAGGAGGAGAUGCACAAAUCCUUGAAGGACAUCUGAUCUCUACACUCUACAGUGCAGAAGCUCUACUCUAUCUUUGUGAGGCAAUCAUAACCAUUUCCAAAAUUUUAGUUUGAUUGGGAUGCUUUGGAAAUAAAACUGGAAACUGGAGAGAAGGAAUGGUCUGUCUUUUGGGUUUGUCUUGAGGUUUUGGCUCCUGGUUCACAAUCUCUUGACCCAUGGUCUCUUAGGAAGUCCUUGGAAUAUCAACUAAGCUACAUGUUGGUAAGGCUCACAUUCAUGAUCCAUUCAAUUGAAUGAAAGCUUUUACGAUUAACAAUUUGUUACUUAAUGAUAUUUGGAGAGCUUCCUCAUGACCCUAGCUUGUUGGUUGGGAGUCAAUGCCUGCUGAAGUAUAAUAUUCUAGUUGUUCCUAAAGAAAUGUUGCUGUAUCUUCUUUUGAGUACCCUAGAAAUAAAAAAGAAAAGUAAAGGGAAGCUCUUACAUGCUGUUA